CAGAGUGAGAUCAUCAAUUACUUUCCUUCUCUGAAGAACUGAGUAAACAUGACUCUAAGGAUCACCCAUUACUUGCAGAGCAAUGAGAGGCACAGAAGACGCUUUGCCUGCCCUUGGAAGUUUAAAUUUGUAUUGUGGGAGACAGAAGGGCUAAAAAAUAAAUCACAAAUGUAGAAUGUGAUGUGCCAUUUAAAAAAGCAGCAAAGAUAAAUGUACUGAACAAAGAGAUAUGAAACUAUGUUCUGAGGAAGUACUGAAGUGGCUUCUUGAGGACUUUAGAAAAGCACUUUCCCCAGAAACACAUCAGGGAGAAAAGUCAGAGA
rnacentral:lncRNA from 1 species